rnacentral:tRNA from 1 species
AGCGGUGUGGACAAGUCUGGUCGAAGUCGCGUGUCUCAUAAGCACGUCAUCGAGGGGUCGAAUCCCUCCGCCGCAA